UACAGAGGUCCCAAGCGUUGUUCGGAUUCACUGGGCGUAAAGGGUGCGUAGGUGGCGGGGUAAGUCUGAUGUGAAAUCUCCGAGCUUAACUCGGAAACUGCAUCGGAUACUGCUUUGCUCGAGGGUUGGAGGGGGGACUGGAAUACUUGGUGUAGCAGUGAAAUGCGUAGAUAUCAAGUGGAACACCAGUGGCGAAGGCGAGUCCCUGGACAACUCCUGACACUGAGGCACGAAAGCUAGGGGAGCAAACAGG
rnacentral:rRNA from 1 species